UACGUAGGGUGCGAGCGUUAAUCGGAAUUACUGGGCGUAAAGCGUGCGCAGGCGGGUCGGCGCGUCGGUCGCUGAAAGCCCCCGGCUCAACCGGGGAAUGGGCGCCGAAACGACCGGUCUGGAGGGGCGUAGGGGGAUCGGGAACUUCCGGUGGAGCGGUGAAAUGCGUUGAGAUCGGAAGGAACGCCCGUGGCGAAAGCGCGGUCCUGGACGCCACCUGACGCUGAGACGCGAAAGCCAGGGGAGCGAACGGG
rnacentral:rRNA from 1 species